rnacentral:rRNA from 1 species
AUUGAACGCUGGCGGUAGGCCUAACACAUGCAAGUCGAACGGCAGCACAGUAACAGCUUGCUCUUACGGGUGGCGAGUCGCGGACGGGUGAGGAAUACAUCGGAAUCUACUUUUUCGUUGGGGAUAACGUAGGGAAACUUACGCUAAUACCGCAUACGACCUACGGGUGAAAGCAGGUGAUCUUCGGACCUUGCGCGAUUGAAUGAGCCGAUGUCGGAUUAGCUAGUUGGCGGGGUAAAGGCCCACCAAGGCGACGAUCCGUAGCUGGUCUGAGAGGAUGAUCAGCCGCACUGGAACUGAGACACGGUCCAGACUCCUACGGGAGGCAGCAGUGGGGAAUAUUGGACAAUGGGCGCAAGCCUGAUCCAGCCAUACCGCGUGGGUGAAGAAGGCCUUCGGGUUGUAAAGCCCUUUUGUUGGGAAAGAAAAGCAGCAGGUUAAUACCCCGCUGUUCUGACGGUACCCAAAGAAUAAGCACCGGCUAACUUCGUG